UCCGUGUGUCAUCGGCAGACCGGAUGGACGU
rnacentral:piRNA from 1 species